rnacentral:snRNA from 1 species
CAGAAUAGAGGAGGGUAGCAUGGCCCCUGAGCAAGGGUGACACACACAUCUGGGAAGCGUCCCAUAUUUAG